ACCAGGAUCGUCGUUUGCUGAUGUUGUUACUUUGUGAAGACAGAUUCCAAUGAUUGAUGCCUUUGAAAGAUUUCUAUUUGUGACUUCUGGCUUUAGGGCUCAAGACAGUAAUACAGAAUUUCCGGAUCAAGGGACAUGGCGUAUGCAGAGACAGCAGCUAUGGGACAUCCUGAGGAGAGCUUGAGAGGGUGAGGCUGAUGAAAUAUCUGGGAGCAGACACUGAUCAAGAAAUUUUACAUCCUGCUGUUACUUCUCCAAGGCCUGGGCAGAGCAGUUGCUGUUCCAAGACGUGAUGUAUCCAGAUAGAAUGCUCUCCAUGGUGCAUCUGGAAAGGUCUUUGCCAAUGAAGUGGUUCCUCCUCUUGUCACUGCUCCUGCCUUCAGUCUGUG